AGUGAACGCUGGCGGCAGGCCUAACACAUGCAAGUCGAGCGGCAGCGGGUCCUUCGGGAUGCCGGCGAGCGGCGGACGGGUGAGGAAUGCAUCGGAAUCUGCCCUGUCGUGGGGGAUAACCUAGGGAAACUUAGGCUAAUACCGCAUACGACCCACGGGUGAAAGCGGGGGAUCGCAAGACCUCGCGCGAUAGGAUGAGCCGAUGUCCGAUUAGCUAGUUGGCGGGGUAAGGCCCACCAAGGCGACGAUCGGUAGCUGGUCUGAGAGGAUGAUCAGCCACACUGGGACUGAGACACGGCCCAGACUCCUACGGGAGGCAGCAGUGGGGAAUAUUGGACAAUGGGCGCAAGCCUGAUCCAGCCAUGCCGCGUGGGUGAAGAAGGCCUUCGGGUUGUAAAGCCCUUUUGUCCGGGAAGAAAUCGUCUGGGCUAAUACCCCGGGCGGAUGACGGUACCGGAAGAAUAAGCACCGGCUAACUUCGUG
rnacentral:rRNA from 1 species